GGGGGGGGGGGGGGGGGGGGCGGGGGGGUGGGGGUCGGGGGGGGGGGGGGGGAGGGCGGGCUCGUGCGGGUGGCGGGUGGCGGGCGGGUGAGGAAUACAUCGGAAUCUACUUUUUCGUGGGGGAUAACGUAGGGAAACUUACGCUAAUACCGCAUACGACCUACGGGUGAAAGCAGGGGAUCUUCGGACCUUGCGCGAUUGAAUGAGCCGAUGUCGGAUUAGCUAGUUGGCGGGGUAAAGGCCCACCAAGGCGACGAUCCGUAGCUGGUCUGAGAGGAUGAUCAGCCACACUGGAACUGAGACACGGUCCAGACUCCUACGGGAGGCAGCAGUGGGGAAUAUUGGACAAUGGGCGCAAGCCUGAUCCAGCCAUACCGCGUGGGUGAAGAAGGCCUUCGGGUUGUAAAGCCCUUUUGUUGGGAAAGAAAAGCAGCAGGUUAAUACCCCGCUGUUCUGACGGUACCCAAAGAAUAAGCACCGGCUAACUUCGUG
rnacentral:rRNA from 1 species